rnacentral:rRNA from 1 species
UACGUAGGGCGCAAGCGUUGUCCGGAAUUAUUGGGCGUAAAGAGCUCGUAGGCGGCUUGUCACGUCUGCUGUGAAAUCCCGGGGCUCAACCCCGGGCGUGCAGUGGAUACGGGCUGGCUAGAGGCAGGCAGGGGAGAACGGAAUUCCCGGUGUAGCGGUGAAAUGCGCAGAUAUCGGGAAGAACACCCGUGGCGAAGGCGGCUCUCUGGAACGCAACUGACGCUGAGACGCGAAAGCGUGGGGAGCAAACAGG